AGUAAUUUUGCUUCUCCUCUUCCUUUUUGCUCUGCUUCGUUCCUUGUUUCACUGGAGCAAAAAAUUGACCGUACAACACCAUGUUUUGAUUCAAACGCGAAACCCUAGGCUCACAACCCUAGGCUCACAACCCUAGCCCUACACCUAAUCCUUUCAUCAUUCUUCAACACCAAGAGGCUCUUGAUAACGUGAGGGUUGGGAUUGGGGUUCAAGAGGAUCCUCACGGCGGUGAUCUCUGGCUGAUGGACGAAAAGCGCCAUCGGGAAGUGGGGUUUUCUUUGAAUAUAGGGUACAGGGAAAAUGAAUUAAACGAAAGGUAGACCAGAGAAAGCCAUUUCGCAGCAAAAUGUGGUGGGAGAGUGUGAACUGUUCGAAGCUAACUGCCCAUAGAAUUAAAAUGGGGUCAAGGGAAAAUCUGCUUGGAU
rnacentral:misc_RNA from 1 species